GACGAACGCUGGCGGCGUGCUUAAUACAUGCAAGUCGAACGGAAAGGCCCUGCUUUUGUGGGGUGCUCGAGUGGCGAACGGGUGAGUAACACGUGAGUAACCUGCACUUGACUUUGGGAUAACUUCAGGAGACUGGGGCUAAUACCGGAUAGGAGCUCCUGCUGCAUGGGGGUGGUUGGAAAGUUUCGGCGGUUGGGGAUGGAAUAGCAGCUUAUGAGCUUGAUGGUGGGGUAGUGGCUUACCAAGGCUUUGACGGGUAGCCGGCCUGAGAGGGUGACCGGCCACAUGGGGACUGAGAGACGGCGCAGACUCCUACGGGAGGCAGCAGUGGGGAAUAUGGCACAAUGGGCGGAAGCCUGAUGCAGCAACGCCGCGUGCGGGAUGACGUGCUUCGGGUUGUAAACCGCUGUCUCCUGUGACGAAGCGUGAGUGACGGUAAUGGGUAAAGAAGCACCGGCUAACUACGUG
rnacentral:rRNA from 1 species